GAUGAACGCUGGCGGCGUGCCUAAUACAUGCAAGUCGAGCGAACAGAUGAGGAGCUUGCUCCUCUGACGUUAGCGGCGGACGGGUGAGUAACACGUGGAUAACCUACCUAUAAGACUGGGAUAACUUCGGGAAACCGGAGCUAAUACCGGAUAAUAUAUUGAACCGCAUGGUUCAAUAGUGAAAGACGGUUUUGCUGUCACUUAUAGAUGGAUCCGCGCCGCAUUAGCUAGUUGGUAAGGUAACGGCUUACCAAGGCAACGAUGGGUAGCCGACCUGAGAGGGUGAUCGGCCACCCUGGAACUGAGACACGGUCCAGACUCCUACGGGAGGCAGCAGUAGGGAAUCUUCCGCAAUGGGCGAAAGCCUGACGGAGCAACGCCGCGUGAGUGAUGAAGGUCUUCGGAUCGUAAAACUCUGUUAUUAGGGAAGAACAAAUGUGUAAGUAACUAUGCACGUCUUGACGGUACCUAAUCAGAAAGCCACGGCUAACUACGUG
rnacentral:rRNA from 1 species